rnacentral:rRNA from 1 species
UUGGAGAGUUUGAUCCUGGCUCAGGACGAACGCUGGCGGCGUGCUUAACACAUGCAAGUCGAACGAAGAGCGAUGGAAGCUUGCUUCUAUCAAUCUUAGUGGCGAACGGGUGAGUAACGCGUAAUCAACCUGCCCUUCAGAGGGGGACAACAGUUGGAAACGACUGCUAAUACCGCAUACGAUCCAAUCUCGGCAUCGAGGAUGGAUGAAAGGUGGCCUCUAUUUAUAAGCUAUCACUGAAGGAGGGGAUUGCGUCUGAUUAGCUAGUUGGAGGGGUAACGGCCCACCAAGGCAAUGAUCAGUAGCCGGUCUGAGAGGAUGAACGGCCACAUUGGG